GAUGAUAUUGCAAACUCAAGCUGGGAGGAUUGUUUCUGGAGGAUGCCAGCAGCAGAGGGCUACUAUCCCCCAGACACAAGCACCAGAGCCAACUCUGCACUUCCACAAGGACACUGACUUCAGGAAAUAAUUUCACCUGCUCAAAACCUUUUUGUUGUGGCAGUUCAGUGCCUUUGAGCUGUGCUUGGAGACCUCACGAACCAUACCUAAGAAAAGUGAUGAUUUAGCAGCUACAUAUUCUUAUGCUUGUUGGCAUUUAUUCAGCGCCAGCCAGGUCCUUGAGUCUCUCUGGAAAGAUGAGCAGGGCCCAAGUGCCCCACACACUACUCAAGCAAUGACAGAGAAGGGGAAUAAAUGAAUCUUGCUAUCACUUAGUGAAUGUAUUCCAAAUCUGUCAUGAAGAUUUCCAUGAGCUUGAGGCAAUCUUCUAUCAAGGGCUGUAUUAAAGAUGGGAAGAAAACAAGUUGUCUCCACAAAAGUUGCUAUAUAAAGAAAAGCAAAGAAGAAACUUAAACUCAGCCAGCUGUGGCUACUGCAAGAGGAUAACUGAAGGCUUCCUGUGAGGAGAAGAGCAGAAUGUAGGAAGGAGAGCAGAGGGCUCUGUAGGGGCUUUGGCCUCAACUUCUUUAAUCCAAAGGAAUCAUAUGGGUUGUUGCUGGCACAGGUUUGUUCAGCUUCCAGAAACACACAAGAGCAAGUGUAUGAUUUCUUUAUGUGAUUAAGCUGUACAGAUGCUGUAAGAGCAUCAUGGUAUUGUAACAUGACUGAACCUUUACAUUGUACUUGUGCCACAGGUUGUCCACACUAAAUAAUGUGAUCCUUAAAGCUGCACCUGUGAAUGAUAUAGUCACCUGGCCUGGAGUGUCAAGGAGAAGCAGCUGAAUGCUAGCCAGUUAUUUGCAGUGUGCCAGUGGCUUCAGAAAAUGCCUGGUUAAUUAUUUGUCAGAAGGCUAGGCUGGGCUUUGACUCCAAUACCCUGACUGACAAUGCACUACCAAGUCCAUCUUUUGUGCAGAGUAAUCCACUCACCAGCUACAGCUGGGAGCCUUCAUGUGUUCCCGGUAGAAUAUACUUGCUUGGCUAAUUGAAAAAUAUUUUUGCAUGAGAAUCAAACAAGAGGCACUUCUGUGGGAAACUGUGCUCUUCUACCUUAAUAAUGCUGGAUAAUUGAUAAUUGUGGAGAGUAGGGUGGUAGUAUGUCUUUUCUCAGAGACACUCAGGGUAGGACUGGGAAUAAAAAGCCAUAGAGAACUCUUGAUUAGAAAACUAUGAGAAGAAUUUUGCUCUGCUGUAGUUUAUAGCCAUGCCCUUCUGGAUGCACCAAUUUCUUAAAUUUCUUUUGACAAGAUGGGGAACUGAGUGCUUUGGAUAAUAUGUUGAAAUACAAGACAAAUGCAGAUAAGACCCCUCUAGGAUGACCACAAGGUCAUAUUUCUGCCACCCUUUACUCUGUGUGCUUCCUGUUACUUACUGGAUGUGUGCUGAGGAACAUAACAAAAAGGGGAAGGAAGCACGUGUGAGGCUCACAGUUGCUAUCCUGCAACAGAUCUCUCUUCUCUCACAGACAAGAAAUAAUGGUGUGUUAGGACUAUGCGUUUCCAACCAGUUGUUGACAUAAAACUUGAUUGUUUUACUUUUGCUGGUGCCUAGGGGAAAGACAAAGAUUGCAACACAUGAAGCAG
ensembl:lncRNA